ACAGUCCAUGCUUACCUUGCUCCAUCCUGAAGGAAUGGUCCACACUUACCUGACUCCACUCUGAAGGAAUGGUCCAUGCUUACCUGGGCCCAUCCUGAAGAAACAGUCCAUUCUUACCUGGCUGUAUUCUGAAGGAAUGGUCCACACUUACCUGGCUCUAUCCUGAAGGAAUGGUCCAUGGUUACCUGGGCCCAUCAUGAAGAAACAGUCCAUGCUUACCUGGCUGUAUUCUGAAGGAAUGGUCCACACUUACCUGACUUCAUCCUGAAGGAAUGGUCCAUGCUUACCUGAGCCCAUCCUGAAGGAAUGGUCCACACUUACCUGACUCCAUCCUGAAGGAAUGGUCCAUGCUUAACUGGGCCCAUCCUGAAGAAACAGUGCAUGCUUACCUGGCUGCAUUGUGAAGGAAUGGUCCCUGCUUACCUGAUUCCAUCCUGAAGGAAUGGUCCACACUUACGUGACUCCAUCUUGAAGGAUUGGUCCAUGCUUACCUGGGCCCAUCUUGAGGAAACAGUCCAUGCUUACCUGGCUGUAUUCUGAAGAAUUGGUCCACACUUACCUGGCUCCAUCCUGCAGGACUGGUCCAUGCUUACCUGGGCCCAUCCUGAAGAAACAGUCCAUGCUUACCUGGCUGUAUUCUGAAGGAAUGGUCAACACUUACCUGGCUCCAUCCUGAAGGAAUGGUCCAUGCUUACCUGGGCCCAUCCUGAAGAAACAGUCCAUGCUUAACUGGCUGUAUUCUGAAGGAAUGGUCAGUGAUUACCUGGCUCCAUCCUCAAGGAAUAGUCCAUGCUUACCUGGGCCCAUCCUGAAGAAGCAGUCAAUGCUUACCUUGCUGCAUCCUGAUGGAGUGGUCCACACUUACCUGACUCCAUCCUGAAGGAAUGGUCCAUGCUUAACUGGGCCCGUCCUGAAGAAACAGUCCAUGCUUACCUUGUUGCAUUCUGAAGGAAUGGUCCAUACUUACCUGACUCCAUCCUGAAGGAAUGGUCCAUGCUUACCUGGGCCCAUCCUGAAGAAACAGUCCAUGCUUACGUGGCUGUAUUAUGAAGAAAUGGUCCACACUUACCUGGCUCCAUCCUGAAGGAAGGGUCCACACUUCCCUGAAUCCACCCUGAAGGAAUGGUCCAUGCUGACCUGGGCUCAUCCUGAAGAAACAGUCCAUGCUUACCUGGCUGUAUUCUGAAGGAAUGGUCCCUGCUUACCUGAUUCCAUCUUGAAGGAAUGGUCCACACUUACGUGACUCCAUCCUGAAGGAAUGGUCCAUGCUUACCUGGGCCCAUCUUGAGGCAACAGUCCAUGCUUACCUGGCUGUAUUCUGAAGAAAUGGUCCACACUUACCUGGCUCCAUCCUGCAGGACUGGUCCAUGCUUACCUGGGCCCAUCCUGAAGAAACAGUCCAUGCUUACCUGGCUGUAUUCUGAAGGAAUGGUCCACACUUACCUGGCUCCAUCCUGAAGGAAUGGUCCAUGCUUACCUGGGCCCAUCCUGAAGAAACAGUCCAUGCUUACCUUGCUCCAUCCUGAAGGAUUGGUCCCUGCUUACCUGAUUCCAUCCUGAAGGAAUGGCCCACACUUAUGUGACUCCAUCCUGAAGGAAUGGUCCAUGCUUACCUGGGCCCAUCCUGAAGAAACAGUCCAUGCUUACCUGGCUGUAUUCUGAAGGAAUGGUCCACAAUUACGUGACUCCAUCCUGAAGGAAUGGUCCAUGCUUACCUGGGCCCAUCCUGAAGAAACACUCCAUGCUUACCUGCCUGUAUUCUGAAGAAAUGGUCCACACUUACCUGGCUGCAUCCUGAAGGAAUGGUCCAUGCUUACCUGGGCCCAUCGUGAAGAAACAGUCCAUGGUUACCUGGCUGUAUUCUGAAGGAAUGGUGCACGCUUACCUGGCUCCAUCCUGAAGGGAUGGUCCAUGCUUACCUGGGCCCAUCCUGAAGAAACUGUCCAUGCUUACCUUGCUCCAUCCUGAAGGAAUGGUCCACACUUACCUGACUCCACUCUGAAGGAAUGGUCCAUGCUUACCUGGGCCCAUCCUGAAGAUACAGUCCAUGCUUACCUGGCCGUGUUCUGAAGGAAUGUUCCACACUUACCUGGCUCUAUCCUGAAGGAAUGGUCCAUGGUUACCUGGGCCAAUCCUGAAGAAAGAGUCCAUGCAUACCUGGCUGUAUUCUGAAGGAAUGGUCCACACUUACCUGGCUCCAUCCUGAAGGAAUGGUCCAUUCUUACCUGGGCCCAUCCUGAAGAUACAGUCCAUGCUUACCUGGCCGUAUUCUGAAGGAAUGUUCCACACUUACCUGGCUCUAUCCUGAAGGAAUGGUCCAUGGUUACCUGGGCCCAUCCUGAAGAAAGAGUCCAUGCAUACCUGGCUGUAUUCUGAAGGAAUGGUCCACACUUACCUGGCUCCAUCCUGAAGGAAUGGUCCAUUCUUACCUGGGCCCAUCCUGAAGAAACAGUUCAUGCUUACCUGGCUGUAUUCUGAAGGAAUGGUCCUUGCUUACCUGAUUCCAUCCUGAAGGAAUGGUCCACACUUACGUGACUGCAUCCUGAAGGAAUGGUCCAUGCUUACCUGGUCCCAUCCUGAAGAAACAGUCCAUGCUUACCUCGCUGUAUUCUGAAGGAAUGGUCCACACUUACCUGGCUCCAUCCUGAAGGAAUGGUCCAUGCUUACCUGGGCCCAUCCUGAAGAAACAGUACAUGCUUACCUGCCUGUAUUUUGAAGGCAUGAUCCUCACUUUCCUGUCUCCAUCCUGAAGAAAUGGUCCAUGUUUACCUGGGCCCAUCCUGAAGAAACAGUCCAUGCUUACCUGACUGUAUUCUGAAGGAAUGGUCCACACUUACCUGGCUCCAUCCUGAAGGAAUGGUCCAUGCUUACCUGGGCCCAUCCUGAAGGAACAGUCCAUGCUUACCUGGCUGUAUUCUGAAGCAAUGGUCACUGAUUACCUGGCUCCAUCCUCAAGGAAUAGUCCAUGCUUACCUGGGCCCAUCCUGAAGAAGCAGUCCAUGCUUACCUUGCUGCAUCCUGAUGGAGUGGUCCACACUUACCUGACUGCAUCCUGAAGGAAUGGUCCAUGCUUACCUGGUCCCAUCCUGAAGAAACAGUCCAUGCUUACCUUGCUGCAUUCUGAAGGAAUGGUCCAUACUUACCUGACUCCAUCCUGAAGGAAUGGUCCAUGCUUACCUGGGCCCAUCCUGAAGAAACAGUCCAUGCUUACCUGGCCGUAUUCUGAAGAAAUGUUCCACACUUACCUGGCUCCAUCCUGAAGGAAUGGUCCACACUGACCUGACUCCACUCUGAAGGAAUGGUCCAUGCUUACCUGGGCCCAUCCUGAAGAAACAGUCCAUGCUUACCUGGCUGUAUUCUGAAGGAAUGGUCCACACUUACCUGGCUCUAUCCUGAAGGAAUGGUCUAUGCUUACCUGGGCCCAUCCUGAAGAAACAGUCCAUGCUUACCUUGCUCCAUCCUGAAGGAAUGGUCCACACUUAUCUGACUCCAUCCUGAAGGAAUGGUCCAUGUUUACCUGGGCCCAUCCUGAAGAAACAGUCCAUGCUUACUUGGCUGUAUUCUGAAGGAAUGGUCCACACUUACCUGGCUCCAUCCUGAAGUAAUGGUCCACACUUACCUGACUCCAUCCUGAUGGAAUGGUCCAUGCUUACCUGGGCCCAUCCUGAAGAAACAGUCCAUGCUUACCUGGCUGUAGUCUGAAGGAAUGGUCCACACUUAACUGGCUCCAUCCUGAAGGAAUGGUCCAUGCUUACCUGGGCCCAUCCUGAGGAAACACUCCUUGCUUACCUGGCUGUAUUCUGAAGGAAUGGUCCCUGAUUACCUGGCUGCAUCCUGAGGGAAUGACCCACACUUAACUCACUGAAUCUUGAAGGAAUGGUCAGUGCUUACCUGGCUCCAUUUUGAGGGAAUGAUCCAUGCCUACAUGGCUGCAUCCUGACGGAAUGAUCCAUGCUACCCUGGCAGCAUCCUAAAGAAAUGGUUCAUACUUACCUACCUGCAUGCUGAAGAAUGGUCCCUGCUUACCUGGCUGCAUCCUGAUCAAAUGGUCUACACUUACCUUGCUCCAUUCUGAAGGUAUGGUCCACACUUUUAUAUCUGCAUCCUCAAGGAAUGGUUCAUGCUUACCUGUCUGCAUCCUGAGGAAAUGGUCCAGGGUUACCUGGCUCCAUCCUGAAAAAUUGUUUUAUGUUUACCUGGCUGCAUCCAGAAGGAAUGGUCCAUGCUUACCUGGCUCUAUUCUGAAGGAAUGUCCCAUGCUUACCUGGCUCCCUCCUUAAUGAAACAUUCACACUUACCUGGCUCCAUCCUGAAAUACUGGCUCAUAUUUACCUGUAUGUACCCUAAAGUAAUGGUCCAUGCUUACCUGGCUCCAUGUUGAAUGAAUGGCCCAUACUUAUCUCACUUCACCCUGAAUGAAUGGCCCAUACUUACCUGGCUCCAUUUGGAAGGAAUGAUCCAUGCUUACCUGGCUUUAUCUUGAAAAAAUGGUCCAUGCUUACCUUGCUCCAUCUGAAGGAAUGUUCCACGCUUACCUGGCCGCAUCCUGAAGGAUUGAUCCAUGCUUACCUGGCUGCAUCCUGAAGGAAUGAUCCACACUUACCUGGCUGUAUCCUGAACGAGUGGUCCUUGGUUACCUGGCUGCAUUCUGAGAAAAUGGUCCAAACUUACCUGGCUUUAUCCUAAGGGAAUGGUCCAUGCUUAGCUGGCUCCAUCCAGAAGAAAUGAUCCAUUCAGAAGAAAGGUUCAUGCUUACCUGGCUGCAUCCUGAAGAAAUGGUCCACAGUUACCUGGCUGCACCCUAACGCAAAGGUCUGUGCUUACUUGGCUGCAUCCUGAAGAAAUGUUUCACGCUUACCUGGCUCCAUCCUGAAGAAAUGGUCCACAGUUUCCUGGCUGCACCCUAAAGGAAAGGUCUGUGCUUACCUGGCUGCAUCCUGAAGGAAUUGUCCAUGCUUACUUGGCUCCAUCCUGAGGGAAUGGUCUAUGCAUACCUGGCUCCAUCCUGAAGUAAUAAUGGCCCUCGCUUCCCUGGCUUUACACUGAAGGAAUUGUCCACACUUCCCUGGCUGCAUCCUGAAGAAAUGAUUCACAUUUAUCCGGCUCCAUCCUGAAGAAAUGAUCCAUGUUUACCUAGCUGCAUCCUGAAGGAAUGUUUCAUACUUACCUGGCUGCAUCCUGAAGGAAUGCUUCCUGCUUACCUGGCUACACCGUGGAGGAAUGGUUCAUACUUACCAGCCUCUAUCCUGAAGGAAUUGUCCACGCUUACCUGGCUGCAUCCUGAAGGAGUGGUCCAUGCUUACCUGGAGGCUUCAUCUGGGAAAACAACCUGUUCCAUCCUCUGGCCAUUUCCAUCUUGGAUUCCUCUGAGCUAAUGACCCAGGGUGAGUUGGCGAGUGGAGACCUCCGAGAGCUGAUGGUGUAGCUCCAGUCCAAAGGCCAGCAGGCUGGAGACCCAGGAAGAGAUGUUCCAGUUAGAGUCUGAAGGCAGCAGAAAGCUAAUGUCCCAGCUUGAAGGCAGCUGGGCAGGAAGAGCCAGCAUUCCAGGUGGGGGCCAUCAGCCAGCAGAGUCCCCCGUUUCUCAGAGGAGGGACGGCCCUUUCAUUCUAUUCCAGGUUUCUCGUGGGUGGAUGAGGCCCACCCCCAUUAGGGAGGGCAGUCUGCUUUACUCAGUCUGACAAUUAAAAUAUUAAUCUCAACCAGAAACACCCCCCAGACACACCCAGAAUGUCUGACCAAAUAUCUGGACACCCUGUGUCCUCAUCAAGUUGACACGUAAAAUUCACCAUCACGUCACCCGUUGUCACCUUGGCACUGAUGGGUUUCCUUAAAACCACACUUUAUCCUCAAAUAAAGAAGAUACCAAGGUCACCAUUCCACCUAACGUGAUACAGCUAAUCCCACAUACAACUGAAAACACACAAUCUCUUCCCCAGAAAAGGAAAUAAAGGCCUUGAGUGAGGUUUACUCUUCUUCUGAUAUUUUCAACUUAGAUUCUAUGAUGUAAAAUUCACAAUUCUUGAAUACAAUCUUAUAACCUAAAUACAUCUUAUGUUACAUAACAGGAUAAGAGAGGGAAGAAAACAAAGAUAUUUGCUAUAUAAUACGCACACACAUUCAUAACAAAAUUAGGAGGAAAUUCUUCUGACUACUGCAGGCCUCACCUCAGUAAUUAGUCACCUGGAGACAAAUGUGGAAGAUAAUUUGAAGUCGUGAUAGGAGCUGUGAAGACACACAGCCAGGCCAUACUCACCCAGCAGGGCUGGGCCUCAGGGUGCCCCACAGGUGUCCCCUCAAAGCGUAGAAACCGGACUUUUGCCCACCAACUGCCUUCCAUAGGGCCGGUAUCUCCCCUGCAGGCCCAGCCUCUCAGGCUGCUUCAGAUGUGGGCUGUGCUCAUUCUUCUGGCUUGAGAAAAUGUCUGGAGGAAAAGUAGUGACUACGAGGUGCACACGUGAGGUGGGAUUGUGGCAGCAUUCAUGGCCAUCGUCUCAGCUCUGCAGGCGGAAUUCGAGGUGGGAUGAGGAGAUAAUCUGUGUAUGGGGCAAAAGAGAUGCUUCCAUCCUCAUCUCCUGGCAACAGCCAGAUUCCAUUUUUCUCCCCAUUGUACAGGAGGGGCACAGAAGUUCCGUAACUUGCCAGAGGUCACAAAGAUCACAAUUUGUAGAGGAAGGGUUUGACCCCAGGCAGCCAGCGAAGGAUGUAUGUGGGGAACUUGACUAAGUCAU
rnacentral:lncRNA from 10 species